GGGGAAUUAGCUCAGUUGGUAGAGCGCUUGCAUGGCAUGCAAGAGGUCAGCGGUUCGACCCCGCUAUUCUCCACAA
rnacentral:tRNA from 2 species